UACAGAGGGUGCAAGCGUUAAUCGGAAUUACUGGGCGUAAAGCGCGCGUAGGCGGCUUUGACAAGUCGAGUGUGAAAUCCCCGGGCUCAACCUGGGAACUGCAUUCAAAACUGACGAGCUAGAGUAUGGUAGAGGGUGGUGGAAUUUUCCUGUGUAGCGGUGAAAUGCGUAGAUAUAGGAAGGAACACCAGUGGCGAAGGCGACCACCUGGACUGAUACUGACACUGAGGUGCGAAAGCGUGGGGAGCAAACAGG
rnacentral:rRNA from 1 species